AGCGAACGCUGGCGGCAGGCCUAACACAUGCAAGUCGAACGAACUCUUCGGAGUUAGUGGCGGACGGGUGAGUAACACGUGGGAACGUGCCUUUUGGUUCGGAAUAACUCAGGGAAACUUGUGCUAAUACCGAAUGUGCCCUUCUGGGGAAAGAUUUAUCGCCAUUAGAGCGGCCCGCGUCUGAUUAGCUUGUUGGGGAGGUAACGGCUCACCACGGCGACGAUCAGUAGCUGGUCUGAGAGGAUGACCAGCCACACUGGGACUGAGACACGGCCCAGACUCCUACGGGAGGCAGCAGUGGGGAAUCUUGCGCAAUGGGCGAGAGCCUGACGCAGCCAUGCCGCGUGAAUGAUGAAGGUCUUAGGAUUGUAAAAUUCUUUCAACGGGGACGAUAAUGACGGUACCCGGAGAAGAAGCCCCGGCUAACUUCGUG
rnacentral:rRNA from 1 species